UACGGAGGGUGCGAGCGUUGUCCGGAAUCAUUGGGCGUAAAGGGCGCGUAGGUGGCGCGGCAAGCGUGCGGUGAAAGCUCGGGGCUCAACCCCGAGUCGGCCGUGCGAACUGCUGUGCUUGAGCACUGUAGAGGCAGGCGGAAUUCCGGGUGUAGCGGUGGAAUGCGUAGAGAUCCGGAAGAACACCGGUGGCGAAGGCGGCCUGCUGGGCAGUGGCUGACACUGAGGCGCGGACAGCGUGGGGAGCAAACAGG
rnacentral:rRNA from 1 species